GUGGAUUAGAUACCCUGGUAGUCCACGCCGUAAACGUUGGGCGCUAGAUGUGGGUCACAUUCCACGUGAUCCGUGUCGCAGCUAACGCAUUAAGCGCCCCGCCUGGGGAGUACGGCCGCAAGGCUAAAACUCAAAGGAAUUGACGGGGGCCCGCACAAGCGGCGGAGCAUGCGGAUUAAUUCGAUGCAACGCGAAGAACCUUACCAAGGCUUGACAUAUACAGGAAAACUGCAGAAAUGUAGUCCCCCGCAAGGGUCUGUAUACAGGUGGUGCAUGGUUGUCGACAACU
rnacentral:rRNA from 1 species